rnacentral:misc_RNA from 1 species
AAAAAAAAAUUUUGUGUGUUCUUUUUCUGUUGGGGUUUCAUGGCUUCCUCUAGUGGAACAUCUUCAGGGUCAACUUCGAUGCAGAACUCUGGUUCUGAAGAGAAUUUGCAGGUAUUGAUGGAUCAGAGGAAGAGGAAAAGGAUGGUAUCAAAUCGGGAAUCAGCAAGGAGGUCUCGGAUGAGAAAACAGAAGCAUUUGGA